AUUGAACGCUGGCGGCAGGCCUAACACAUGCAAGUCGAACGGUAACAGGAAGAAGCUUGCUUCUUUGCUGACGAGUGGCGGACGGGUGAGUAAUGUCUGGGAAACUGCCUGAUGGAGGGGGAUAACUACUGGAAACGGUAGCUAAUACCGCAUAACGUCGCAAGACCAAAGAGGGGGACCUUCGGGCCUCUUGCCAUCGGAUGUGCCCAGAUGGGAUUAGCUAGUAGGUGGGGUAACGGCUCACCUAGGCGACGAUCCCUAGCUGGUCUGAGAGGAUGACCAGCCACACUGGAACUGAGACACGGUCCAGACUCCUACGGGAGGCAGCAGUGGGGAAUAUUGCACAAUGGGCGCAAGCCUGAUGCAGUCAUGCCGCGUGUAUGAAGAAGGCCUUCGGGUUGUAAAGUACUUUCAGCGGGGAGGAAGGGAGUAAAGUUAAUACCUUUGCUCAUUGACGUUACCCGCAGAAGAAGCACCGGCUAACUCCGUG
rnacentral:rRNA from 1 species